UACGUAGGCAGCGAGCGUUGUUCGGAGUUACUGGGCGUAAAGGGUGUGUAGGCGGUUGUUUAAGUUUGGUGUGAAAUCUCCCGGCUCAACUGGGAGGGUGCGCCGAAUACUGAGCGACUAGAGUGCGGGAGAGGAAAGUGGAAUUCCUGGUGUAGCGGUGAAAUGCGUAGAUAUCAGGAGGAACACCGGUGGUGUAGACGGCUUUCUGGGACGGUACUGACGCUGAGACGCGAAAGCGUGGGGAGCAAACAGG
rnacentral:rRNA from 1 species